AGAGAGAGACAUGCGCGCAUAUCAAUAAGCGGAGGAAAAGAAACUAACAAGGAUUCCCCUAGUAACGGCGAGUGAAGCGGGAAGAGCUCAAAUUUGAAAUCUUAAAGGGUUUCCCUUUACGAACUGUAGUUUAAAGAAGUGUUUUCUGUUGAGGUUUUGGUAAAAGUUCUUUGGAAUAGGACAUCAUAGAGGGUGAGAAUCCCGUAUUUGACCUUUACUUUCAACUUCGUGAUACACUUUCAAAGAGUCGGAUUGUUUGGGAAUGCAGUCCAAAAUGGGUGGUAAAUUUCAUCUAAAGCUAAAUAUUGGCGAGAGACCGAUAGCGAACAAGUACCGUGAGGGAAAGAUGAAAAGAACUUUGAAAAGAGAGUUAAACAGUACGUGAAAUUGUCAAAAGGGAAGCGUUUGACACCAGUGUUGUUUUUCUGAAAAUCAAUUAAAGAACUGUUUAUGCUAAGCUGUUUAGACUUUAUCAGCUAACUGUUUAGUUUUGAGCUUUUCUUUAAUGCACUUUUCAGUUAACAAGUCAACAUCAAUUUCUUUUGCUGUAAAAAAGCUUGAGGAAGGUGGCUUGAGAUUCGUCUUAAGUGUUUAUAGCCUCUUGCCUAUGCAGUCGGAGAGAUUGAGGUCUGCAGCGUAGAUCCUUCGGGGCUAAAUGCAUUUGUGCUAAGUUAUAGCAUUUUAUAGACAACUUGUUGACUAUGAUUUGUCUUGUAGCUUACUCGCUUAUGUUAUUUUACCUACGCUUAGGAUGUUGACGCAUGAGAUAUACGC
rnacentral:rRNA from 1 species